rnacentral:tRNA from 1 species
UAGACCAAAGCUCGCCGGUUUGGGCAGCUAGCUGUUAAUUAGUUUUUGUAGGAUCGAGGCCUGCUGGUCUAG